GCCAGAUGCAGAUUAGGUGGAACCUGAAGGAGGCUGAGGCUGGAGGAUCGCUUGAGCCCAGGAGUUCUGGGCUGUAGUGCGCUAUGCCGACCGGGUGUCCGCCCUAAGUUCAGCAUCAAUAUGGUGACCUCCCGGGAGCUCGGGACCUCCAGGUUGCCCAAGGAAGGGUGAACCGGCCCAGGUCGGAAACGGAGCAGGUCAAAACUCCCGUGCUGAUGAGUAGUGGGAUCGUGCCUGUGAAGAGCCACUGCACUCCAGCCUGGGCAACAGCGAGACCCUGUCUCU
ensembl:misc_RNA Metazoa_SRP Metazoan signal recognition particle RNA